UCACAAAAUUGCCGGCUGUUUUUGCUAUCGUAGUUAAGUAUCAGAUGCAAAGAUAGGAUCUUCACAAUGGAUGUUGGAAACGGUAACCCAAUUUCAUCAAUAUGUUUCAAUUUAGGUGUUUCUGCAUUUUACGGGCUAGCUAGCAACGGUA